rnacentral:rRNA from 1 species
GCCGCUCUGGGAUGGGCCUGCGGCCCAUUAGCUUGUUGGUGAGGUAAUGGCUCACCAAGGCGACGAUGGGUAGCUGGUCUGAGAGGAUGUCCAGCCACACUGGGACUGAGACAUGGUCCAGACUCCUACGGGAGUUAGCAUCGGGGGAUAUUGCGCAAUGGGCGAAAGCCCGACGCAGUGACGCCGCGUGCAGGAUGAAGGCCCUAGGGUCGUAAACUGCUGUCGGGUGGGAUGAACGCCGGGGGUGACGCCUCGGUUUGACAAUACCACCCAAGAAAGCCCCAGCUAACUACGUGCCAGCAGCUGCGGUAAUACGUAGGGGGCAAGCGUUGUCCGGAAUUACUGGGCGUAAAGGGCGUCUAGGCGGCUUAGUAAGCGGAAUGUGAAAGCCCAGGGCUCAACCCUGGAACGCCGUUCCGAACUACUAGGCUUGAGUUCGGGAGAGGGCAGUGGAAUUCCCGGUGUAGCGGUGAAAUGUUUAGAUAUCGGGAGGAACACCAGUGGCGAAGGCGGCUGCCUGGACCGAUACUGACGCUGAAGCGCGAAAGCCAGGGGAGCGAACGGGAUUAGAUACCCCGGUAGUCCUGGCUGUAAACGAUGAACACUAGGUGUUGGGGGCAUCAACCCUUCCAGUGCCGAAGCAAACGCAUUAAGUGUUCCGCCUGGGGAGUACGGCCGCAAGGUUAAAACUCAAAGGAAUUGACGGGGCCCCGCACAAGCGGUGGAGCAUGUUGCUUAAUUCGACGCAACGCGAAGAACCUUACCAGGCCUUGACAUCCAGGGAAUCCUCCCGAAACGGAGGAGUGCCCUUCGGGGAACCCUGAGACAGGUGGUGCAUGGCUGUCGUCAGCUCGUGUCGUGAGAUGUUGGGUUAAGUCCCGCAACGAGCGCAACCCUUAUCGACUGUUGCCAGCGGGUAAUGCCGGGGACUCUGUCGAAACUGCCCGAGCAAUCGGCCGGAAGGUGAGGAUGACGUCAAGUCAGCAUGCCCCUUAUGGCCUGGGCUGCAAACAUGCUACAAUGGACGGUACAAAGGGCAGCGAGACCGCGAGGUGGAGCAAAUCCCACAAAGCCGUCCUCAGUUCGGAUUGAAGUCUGCAACUCGACUUCAUGAAGUUGGAAUCGCUAGUAACCGUAGAUCAGCACCGCCGCGGUGAUACGUUCCCGGGGCUUGUACACACCGCCCGUCACAUCAUGGAAGCCGGCUACACCCGAAGUCCGUGCGCU